rnacentral:rRNA from 1 species
UACAGAGGUCCCAAGCGUUGUUCGGAAUCACUGGGCGUAAAGGGAGCGUAGGCGGGCUUCUAAGUUAGGUGUUUAAUCCCAGGGCCCAACCCUGGUCAGGCACCUAAAACUGGGAGUCUUGAAUAGUGGAGAGGACGAUGGAAUUGGGGUGUAGCGGUGGAAUGCGUAGAGAUCCCCAAGAACACCAGUUGCGAAGGCGGAUCGUCUGGACACAUAUUGACGCUGAGGCUCGAAAGCAUGGGGAGCAAACAGGG